rnacentral:rRNA from 1 species
CCUACGGGAGGCAGCAGUAGGGAAUAUUGCUCAAUGGGGGAAACCCUGAAGCAGCAACGCCGCGUGGAGGAUGAAGGUUUUCGGAUUGUAAACUCCUUUUGUUAGAGAAGAUAAUGACGGUAUCUAACGAAUAAGCACCGGCUAACUCCGUGCCAGCAGCCGCGGUAAUACGGAGGGUGCAAGCGUUACUCGGAAGCACUGGGCGUAAAGAGCGCGUAGGCGGGAUAGCAAGUCAGAUGUGAAAUCCUAUGGCUUAACCAUAGAACUGCAUUUGAAACUGGUAGUCUAGAGUAUGGGAGAGGUAGGUGGAAUGCGUGGUGUAGCGGUAAAAUGCGUAGAGAUCAAGAAGAAUACUGAUGGCGAAGGCGACCUGCUAGAACAUAACUGACGCUGAUGCGCGAAAGCGUGGGGAGCAAACAGGAUUAGAUACCCGAGUAGUC